UUCUCAAUCGCUCUUUUUAGUGAGGAGAAUAUUGCGUGAAUGGUGGUUCUCAUACACGAGAAUCACUACUCUAUAAAUAAAUUUUAAAAGUAGAUUUUCUAUGGUUGUAUAAGUUGGCAAAAGAAACCAGAAAAACCUAGUUUACAUAUAGCAGAACAAAACUGAGUUUUUGCUGAGAUACUUGAGAGCAUUGACCCUAACAAAUUCAUAGCUGGAAUGCAUAGGAAAGCUCAUUCAGCCUUACUGAGCUUGCUCGUUUUCUUGAAGUUCAAUAGACAAUUGUGCAGAAUCUUGUGAUUCCAUAAGACCUUAAAGAUUUCUUGUCGUGCUGUUUACUUGUUAAAGUGAUUCUGCGCUGCUUUUAGAACUGUUAAGACAUUGCAGGAAUGUACAAAGGCAAAUCAGUAAGGCUAGCACGAAUACUGAAUCUAUCUAUCCAUAAAAAAUUUAAACUAUAUCAGAACAACGUAACUUCACCUCCUGGUUCCGUUUUCUUUUCUUUUCUUCCUUCUUUCCAUUAUUGCAAUCAAACCACAAAGAUUGCGAAUUUCUUAACAGCUGCAUGCAAUGAAUCAAUGUCAUCAGUCUAAUUGAUCCAUUACUAAUUAAAAGAAACCAAGGAAAAAUUAAGGUAACCAUAGAAUUUAAAUUUUAGGAAAUUGAUGGAAGACUUGUAUUUUAACAUGAAU
rnacentral:lncRNA from 1 species